AGCUUUCAGAAAGUAUUACUGAAUACUUUGACUUCCAAUUGGUCAGGAAAGGAGCUGAUCGGCUUCAUUGAGUCAGUUCCCAGGAAGCUCUUCAGUGUGUGUCUCUGUGGAAAAGACAGAAUGGGGAAUGAGCUUGAGAGAGCUUCCACUGAGAUGGUUCAGCCCACACAUGUACAUAUCAUGCUGGCUCUUAUCCAUAGUCCACCUCUGUCUGAGAUUUUUGUCUUCACUGAUGCAUCCCCUAAAGACAUCCACCUGUACAGCACUGUCAAAGCUCUCAUUUUAGAAAAACAGAGCAAGGUGACCUUCCUGGUGACUGAAGACCCAAGUCAUGGAGAGACCAAGACAAGCAAGAGGAAAAGAAGAGAAACUCUGUCUCCUGACAGAUUCUCUUUUUACUCCUCUCUCUCUUCCUUAUCUGAGUGGAUGACCAUCUUCACCACUAACAGGGAUAUUCAUAAAGUUUCAGCCAUCGUGGAAGACAGCACCACUGCCAGCAAGGUGACACUGUUUCAUGCAGAAAGUGAGGCAGAUUCAUCACACGCCUUCACAAUCGACCAAGCAGUCAGAUCUGUCAGUCUCCAUGUUGCUGGAAAACUCAAACACUGAGUUCUCAUCAA